AGCGAACGCUGGCGGCAGGCCUAACACAUGCAAGUCGAACGAACUCUUCGGAGUUAGUGGCGGACGGGUGAGUAACACGUGGGAACGUGCCUUUUGGUUCGGAAUAACUCAGGGAAACUUGUGCUAAUACCGAAUGUGCCCUUCGGGGGAAAGAUUUAUCGCCAUUAGAGCGGCCCGCGUCUGAUUAGCUAGUUGGUGAGGUAACGGCUCACCAAGGCGACGAUCAGUAGCUGGUCUGAGAGGAUGACCAGCCACACUGGGACUGAGACACGGCCCAGACUCCUACGGGAGGCAGCAGUAGGGAAUCUUACGCAAUGGGCGAAAGCCUGACGCAGCCAUGCCUCGUGAAUGAUGAAUGUCUUAGGAUUGUAAAAUUCUUUCACCGGCGACGAUAAUGACGGUACCCGGAGAAGAAGCCCCGGCUAACUUCGUG
rnacentral:rRNA from 1 species